GGAGAGGUGCAAGAGUGGUUGAAUUGGCACGCCUGGAACGCGUGUGUGGCGGCAACGUCACCCAGGGUUCGAAUCCCUGUCUCUCCGCCA
rnacentral:tRNA from 1 species